CUGCUUGAAAGUGGAUGUGAGUUGAGCAGCAUGAGUCAGUGUGAGGACAGAGAGGAGGGAGUCCCUCCCUCUAAAAGCACUCUGUGUGGGGAACAUGACAGCCAGACCAAAGCUCAGAGCCCAGAGCAGCAGCAGGGACCAGACUCUGCUGGACCUGGACCUGGACCUGGACCUGAGCCCAGCUGUGUGUCCUUCAAGAGUGACCAGUCAAUGGGUCGACUUAAUGAAUUUAAGCGAGGACGUGAAUCUGACAGACAGUAAGUAUCAGUCAGUAUUAAACAGUGUUGGCCAAUCAGAGCUAAAUGUUCAUGUCUCCCUCCUCAUGUUGCUCCCUGCUGAUGUUUGUCCUCAUUAAAUCCAGUCUGACCAGU